UCAAUGUCUGUUGUGAUCUCGCCA
rnacentral:siRNA from 1 species